UACGUAGGGUGCGAGCGUUGUCCGGAAUUAUUGGGCGUAAAGAGCUCGUAGGCGGUCUGUCGCGUCGAUCGUGAAAACUUGGGGCUUAACCCUGAGCUUGCGGUCGAUACGGGCAUGACUGGAGUUCGGCAGGGGAGACUGGAAUUCCUGGUGUAGCGGUGAAAUGCGCAGAUAUCAGGAGGAACACCAGUGGCGAAGGCGGUGCUCUGGGCCGGAACUGACGCUGAGGAGCGAAAGCGUGGGGAGCGAACAGG
rnacentral:rRNA from 1 species